rnacentral:tRNA from 1 species
CGGAGCGUAGCGCAGCCCGGUAGCGCACCUGCUUCGGGAGCAGGGGGUCGCAGGUUCGAAUCCUGCCGCUCCGACCA